UACGUAGGGCGCAAGCGUUAUCCGGAAUUAUUGGGCGUAAAGAGCUCGUAGGCGGCUUGUCGCGUCGGCUGUGAAAACCCGCGGCUCAACUGUGGGCGGGCAGCUGAUACGGGCAGGCUGGAGUUCGGUAGGGGAGAACGGAAUUCCUGGUGUAGCGGUGAAAUGCGCAGAUAUCGAGGAGGAACGACCGGUGGCGAAGGCGGGUUCUCUGGGCAUUACCUGACGCUGGAGG
rnacentral:rRNA from 1 species